AUAUCUCUCUGUACGGGAAGGAUGAGAAGCUUCGACUAAGGUUCGAUUCGAGCGUCAGCGAGAAAGCGUUGCCGCAGGCAAC
rnacentral:sRNA from 3 species